rnacentral:rRNA from 1 species
AGUAAUGCUUGGGAAUCUAGCUUAUGGAGGGGAUAACUACGGGAAACUGUAGCUAAUACCGCGUAGUAUCGAGAGAUGAAAGUGUGGGGCCUUCGGGCCACAUGCCAUAGGAUGAGCCCAAGUGGGAUUAGGUAGUUGGUGAGGUAAAGGCUCACCAAGCCGACGAUCUCUAGCUGGUCUGAGAGGAUGACCAGCCACACUGGGACUGAGACACGGCCCAG